CUACGGGCCGCAGCAGUGGGGAAUAUUGCACAAUGGGCGCAAGCCUGAUGCAGCCAUGCCGCGUGUAUGAAGAAGGCCUUCGGGUUGUAAAGUACUUUCAGCGGGGAGGAAGGGAGUAAAGUUAAUACCUUUGCUCAUUGACGUUACCCGCAGAAGAAGCACCGGCUAACUCCGGGCCAGCAGCCGCGGUGAAUACGGAGGGUGCAAGCGUUAUCGGAAUUACUGGGCGUAAAGCGCACGCAGGCGGUUUGUUAAGUCAGAUGUGAAAGCCCCGGGCUCAACCUGGGAACUGCAUCUGAUACUGGCAAGCUUGAGUCUCGUAGAGGGGGGUAGAAUUCCAGGUGUAGCGGUGAAAUGCGUAGAGAUCUGGAGGAAUACCGGUGGCGAAGGCGGCCCCCUGGACGAAGACUGACGCUCAGGUGCGAAAGCGUGGGGAGCAAACAGGAUUAGAUACCCUAGUAGUC
rnacentral:rRNA from 1 species